rnacentral:rRNA from 1 species
GACGAACGCUGGCGGCGUGCCUAAUACAUGCAAGUUGAACGCUUCUUUCUUAUCGAACUUCGGUUCACCAAGAAAGAGGAGUAGCGAACGGGUGAGUAACACGUGGGUAACCUGCCCAUCAGCGGGGGAUAGCACUUGGAAACAGGUGCUAAUACCGCAUAAUGCUUUUUCUCACAUGAGAGAAAGCUGAAAGGCGCUUUUGCGUCACUGAUGGAUGGACCCGCGGUGCAUUAGCUAGUUGGUAGGGUAACGGCCUACCAAGGCAACGAUGCAUAGCCGACCUGAGAGGGUGAUCGGCCACACUGGGACUGUAGACACGGCCCAGACUCCUACGGGAGGCAGCAGUAGGGAAUCUUCGGCAAUGGACGAAAGUCUGACCGAGCA